rnacentral:rRNA from 1 species
CCUACGGGAGGCAGCAGUAAGGAAUAUUGGUCAAUGGACGCAAGUCUGAACCAGCCAUGCCGCGUGCAGGAUGAAGGCCCUCUGGGUUGUAAACUGCUUUUAUAGGGGACGAAAAAGGGACUUUCUAGUUCAACUGACGGUACCCUAGGAAUAAGCACCGGCUAACUCCGUGCCAGCAGCCGCGGUAAUACGGAGGGUGCAAGCGUUAUCCGGAUUUACUGGGUUUAAAGGGUGCGUAGGUGGGUCGGUAAGUCAGCGGUGAAAUCUUCGAGCUUAACUCGGAAACUGCCAUUGAUACUAUCGAUCUUGAAUCAUCUAGAGGUAAGCGGAAUAUGUCAUGUAGCGGUGAAAUGCUUAGAUAUGACAUAGAACACCAAUUGCGAAGGCAGCUUACUAUGGAUGUAUUGACACUGAGGCACGAAAGCGUGGGGAUCAAACAGGAUUAGAUACCCUGGUAGUCCACGCCCUAAACGAUGGAUACUCGACAUCAGCGAUACACUGUUGGUGUNUGAGNGAAGAGAUAAGUAUCCACCGUGGUAGUAGUUAGUUGNGAGAGUAGUUAAGUUAAGUUAGAGAGAGCGNGAGAGNGCGACGGACGACGACGAGGAGGAGG